ACUCUGGAGAUGAACUCUUCUCUAGGCUUAGUGACUGUGGUGCUCUUAGUGCUUGGACAAACACAUGGAGACAAUGUGACGCAGGAAGGCCAAGUGACACUCUCCGAAGGGGACUCCCUGACUGUGAGCUGUACUUAUUCAGCCACAGGAUACCCCACCCUUUUCUGGUAUGUCCAGUGUCCUGGAAAAGGUCUCGAGCUCCUGCUGAAAGCCCAGAAAGACAAUCAGAAGGAUGAAAAAGGAGGUUUUGAAGCCACCUACAAGAAAGGCCCUAAUUCCUUCCACUUGAAGAAAGCCUCAGUGCAAGCGUCAGACUCGGCUGUGUACUACUGUGCCCUGAGUGACACAGUGACAGAAGCUGCAGGGGGAGCUGAGCGCAAACCGAGCAGCAGAAGGGGCCUGGCUGCAAGGGUCAAAGGGGCAGAGGUGGAGCAGAGCCCUUCUUUCCUGAGUCUCCAGGAGGGAAAAAACGCCACCCUGAAGUGCAAAACCUCUAUGGGCGUGCAAUAUGCACAGUGGUUCCAACAGAAGCCUGGGGGCAGCCUGGUCAUGCUGAUUUACACAGCUUCAGCGACUCUGAAGCAUGAGGGAAGGUUCAGUGCCGCACUGAAUAUCCAGGAUAAGAACAGCACCCUGAACAUCGACGGCUCCCAGCUGGAGGACUCAGCCACCUACUUUUGUGCUCUGAGGCACAGUGCUUUGGGGUGA